GUCCCCUCAAUUCCAGCUAUAUAACCACCCAACAGAAAGAAGCCGUGAAGAAAAUAUUGAGUUAUCUCCCAUUCACUAGCCAUUCACACCAGUAUCUGCAACCAUGACAUUCAGCGUUCAGUUCUGUCUAUUGCUCCUGACACUGACAGCAUGUGCCAACUGCCA
rnacentral:sRNA from 1 species